UACGUAGGAGGCAAGCGUUGUCCGGAAUUACUGGGUGUAAAGCGCGUGUAGGUGGCAGGCCAAGUCUGUUGUGAAAUCGCCCGGCUCAACUGGGCGCGGUCAAUGGAAACUGGUCAGCUGGAGGACGGUAGAGGCGAGUGGAAUUCCCGGUGUAGUGGUGAAAUGCGUAGAGAUCGGGAGGAACACCUGUGGCGAGGGCGGCCGACUGGGCCGACCCUGACGCUGAGGCGCGAAGGCGUGGGGAGCGAACGGG
rnacentral:rRNA from 1 species